UGAGAGUCAAGGAGGCCCUGCUGAGGUUCUCUGAGGUUGUGUCAGCCAGGCUGGGUCGCUAGUUGUUGGUCCCACAUGGCUGGCAGUAGGAAAACCCCUUAUCUUGUCGCGGGGUCUCCUGUGGGGCUUUGAAGGGGCUCCUCUCUGGCAGCGGCUUCCUGGUGCUAUUGAGACACAUGCUGUAUCUCCCGUGUGAUUAUUGUAUCACAGCAUGACACAGAAGCCACACUGUGUCAUGGUCUGGUCCCUCACAACCAGCAAUUCUGUCACUAGAGGGCAAAGUCUAUGAAAAGGACAAUCAGGGUUUACUCUCUGUGGUUACCCUGCCCACUCCCCACCCCUACGCGCCCUCCCCCCGCCCCGCAGGGGAUAGCCAUCAUCCAGGGGUAUGGCUGCACAGGAGCGUGAAGUGCCAUCGGAGCCGUUGAUGUAAGAUCAAAUGACCUUCUUCAAAACCUAAGUAAAUCUAAAAAAUCCUAGGGCCGAGCCAGGAAUGAAGCAUGAUCCUUAAGCUUAUGGCUCCACUUGCCCUUGACCCUGAGAGGAGAUGGAAGAAGCUGAAGAUGCCAGCCCCACCCCCCUUCGCAGCUGCCUCGGAGGCCUGGAGCCUGGCGUCAGGACCGGGGAGGCCCCAGAGCCACUGCAAAUCUGGCCCAGCUGGGGGAUUAGAGGCAUCUGGCUCAGUUACACCAGAGAAACAAAGGCGGCUGCAGCCUUUAUCUAGGAGAGGUUGGGGGUUGCCCUUGUGCCUUUGCGGGGACCUAGACAGACCUCGGACAUGGACCCAGCUGGCCCCAUGCACCCCAGGUCCCCAAGAGGUUACCACACACUUCUGAAAGGGGGGCGUGCGAGGAGAGGUGGGGACAGGGUGGGGCCUCUGCUCGCAGCUGGCUCUGCUGGCAGAACAGGGACACCCCCACCUCCCCAGGCCAGGAAACAUCCAAUAAAACAGUCUUCAUCGGCC